rnacentral:rRNA from 1 species
CAGUCGAGCGGCAGCGCGGGGCAACCUGGCGGCGAGCGGCGAACGGGUGAGUAAUGCAUCGGAACAUGUCCAUUCGUGGGGGAUAGCCCGGCGAAAGCCGGAUUAAUACCGCAUACGCCCGAGAGGGGAAAGCCGGGGACUCGCAAGGGCCUGGCGCGAUUGGGUUGGCCGAUGUCCGAUUAGCUAGUUGGUGAGGUAAAGGCUCACCAAGGCGAUGAUCGGUAGCUGGUCUGAGAGGAUGAUCAGCCACACUGGGACUGAGACACGGCCCAGACUCCUACGGGAGGCAGCAGUGGGGAAUUUUGGACAAUGGGGGCAACCCUGAUCCAGCCAUUCCGCGUGAGUGAAGAAGGCCUUCGGGUUGUAAAGCUCUUUUGUCCGGAACGAAACGGUUAGCGUGAAUAUCGCUGACUACUGACGGUACCGGAAGAAUAAGCACCGGCUAACUACGUGCCAGCAGCCGCG